AUCCAAGCUACUAAGGGUCUACGGUGGAUGCCUUGGCGUCAGGAGCCUAUGAAGGACGUGGCAGGCUGCGAUAAGCCUCGGUGAGCUGCCAAGCAAGCGCUGACCCGGGGAUGUCCGAAUGGGGAAACCCGGCUGGGGUAAUGCCCAGUCACUUCGGUCUGAACACAUAGGGCCGAUAGAGGUAACCGGGGGAAUUGAAACAUCUCAGUACCCCGAGGAAUAGAAAGCAACAGCGACUCCCUGAGUAGCGGCGAGCGAAACGGGAAGAGCCUAAACCGAUGUGGUGUGAUAGCCCGGUGGCGUUGCCACAUCGGGGUCGUGGGACCCACUUGACGGGACACCGGAACCGUCAGGGAGUUACAAAAUCAGGUGCUAGCUGAACCUAUCUGGAACGGUAGGCCAUAGAAGGUAACAGCCCUGUAAGCGAAAGCGCACUGAAUCUCCCAGUGGUGUUCCCAAGUAGCACGGGGCACGUGAAAUCCCGUGUGAAUCUGCGAGGACCACCUCGCAAGGCUAAGUACUACCUGGCGACCGAUAGCGAACUAGUACCGUGAGGGAAAGGUGAAAAGCACCCCGGUGAGGGGAGUGAAAUAGAACCUGAAACCGUAGACCUACAAGCAGUCGGAGGAUCUCUUCGGAGAUCUGACGGCCUGCCUUUUGAAGAAUGAGCCGGCGAGUUAGUGGUACGUGGCAAGGUUAAGGCGUAAGCCGGAGCCGCAGCGAAAGCGAGUCUGAACAGGGCGUUCAGUCGCGUGCCCUAGACCCGAAGCCGAGUGAUCUAUCCAUGGGCAGGGUGAAUCGGGGGUAAGACCUCGUGGAGGCCCGAACCCACCAAGGUUGAAAACUUGGGGGAUGACCUGUGGAUAGGGGUGAAAGGCCAAUCAAACUCGGCGAUAGCUGGUUCUCCCCGAAAUAGCUUUAGGGCUAGCGUUGUAUGUUCCACUAUGGGGGUAGAGCACUGAUUGGGCUAGGGGGCCAACAAGCUUACCAACCCCAGUCAAACUCCGAAUCUCAUAGUGCUAAGUACGGCAGUCAGACCGUGGGGGAUGAGCUUCACUGGUCGAAAGGGAAACAGCCCAGACCGCCAGCUAAGGUCCCAAAAUCUGGACUAAGUGGGGAACGAUGUGGAGUCGCACAAACAGCCAGGAGGUUGGCUUAGAAGCAGCCACCCUUUAAAGAGUGCGUAACAGCUCACUGGUCGAGUGACUCUGCGCGGAAAAUGUAACGGGGCUCAAGUCCAGUACCGAAGCUGCGGAAUCACAGCAUUAACCCGAUCUGGGGUCUUCGGAUCUCAGAUCCAGGCGCUGUGUUUGGUAGGGGAGCGUCGUACGGCCCACGAAGCGGCGGCGGAAGCCAGCCGUGGAGGCCGUACGAGCGAGAAUGCCGGCAUGAGUAGCGAGAGGGGAGUGAGAAUCUCCCCCGCCGAAAGUCCAAGGGUUCCUGGGGAAGGCUCGUCCGCCCAGGGUUAGUCGGGACCUAAGGCGAGGCCGCAAGGCGUAGUCGAUGGACAACUGGUUGAUAUUCCAGUACCACCAUGUGCGCGUCCAGACCGAACCCGGUUUGCUAAGGAAAGCCCUUCGGGGCCUACCGACCCAACUGGUAGUAGGUGAGCAAUGGAGUGACGCGGAAGGGUAAGCAGACCCAGGCGUUGGUUGACCUGGGGCAAGCGUGUAGGGCGAGGUCUAGGCAAAUCCGGACCUCACGAAGCCUGAGGCGUGACGCCGAUCCGCUUUAAGGAGAAGCUGCUGAACGCCCAUGCCGCCGAGAAACAACUUCUAGCGAGUUCACAUGGUGCCCGUACCCCAAACCGACACAGGUGGACAGGUAGAGAAUACUAAGGCGAUCGAGAGAACCGUGGUUAAGGAACUCGGCAAAAUGGCCCCGUAACUUAGGGAGAAGGGGCGCCCCGUUAAGGUGAGAGAGAUUCUCUCUCUCGAGCCUGAGGGGGCCGCAGUGACUCGGCCCAAGCGACUGUUUACUAAAAACACAGGAGCGUGCUAAGUCGCAAGACGACGUAUACGCUCUGACGCCUGCCCGGUGCCGGAAGGUUAAGGGGAGAGGUUAGCUGCUUGCAGCGAAGCUUUGAACCUAAGCCCCGGUAAACGGCGGCGGUAACUAUAACCGUCCUAAGGUAGCGAAAUUCCUUGUCGGGUAAGUUCCGACCUGCACGAAUGGCGUAACGACUUGGGCGCUGUCUCAACCACGGACUCGGCGAAAUUGCAGUGUGAGUAAAGAUGCUCACUACCUGCGACAGGACGGAAAGACCCCGGGACCUUUACUGCAGCUUGGCAUUGGAGUUUGGCAUCUCAUGUGUAGGAUAGGUGGGAGACUUGGAAGCAGCGGCGCUAGCCGUUGUGGAGUCAACCUUGAAAUACCACCCUUGAUAUGUUGAGCUUCUAACCUCGGUCCGUUAUCCGGAUCAGGAACAGUGCCUGGCGGGCAGUUUCACUGGGGUGGUGGCCUCCCAAAAUGUAACGGAGGCGCCCAAAGGUUCCCUCAGUCUGGUCGGCAAUCAGACGUUGAGUGCAAGGGCAAAAGGGAGCUUGACUGCGAGACUUACA
rnacentral:rRNA from 1 species